CCUAAGGUAGCGAAAUUCCUUGUCAGGUAAGUUCUGACCCGCACGAAAGGUGUAAUGAUUUGAGCACUGUCUCGACAACACGCCCGGUGAAAUUGAAGAACCAGUGAAGAUACUGGUUACCCGCAACAGGACGGAAAGACCCCAUGGAGCUUUACUGCAGCUUAAUAUUGGGAUUCGGUAUUGUAUGUACAGGAUAGGAGGGAGACUAAGAAGCUUGCACGCCAGUGUAGGUGGAGUCGAUGUUGGGAUACCUCUCUUAUGAUACUGGAUUUCUAACCUACCGCCAUGAACUGGUGGAGGGACAUUGUUAGGCGGGCAGUUUGACUGGGGCGGUCGCCUCCGAAAGAGUAACGGAGGCGCUCAAAGGUCUUCUCAGAAUGAUUGGAAACCAUUCAAAGAGUGUAAAGGCAGAAGAAGGCUUGACUGCGAGAGCGACGGUUCGAGCAGGUACGAAAGUAGGACUUAGUGAUCCGGUGGUAACACGUGGGAGUGCCAUCGCUUAACGGAUAAAAGCUACCCUGGGGAUAACAGGCUUAUCUCCCCCAAGAGUUCACAUCGACGGGGAGGUUUGGCACCUCGAUGUCGGCUCAUCGCAUCCUGGGGCUGAAGUAGGUCCCAAGGGUUGGGCUGUUCGCCCAUUAAAGCGGUACGCGAGCUGGGUUCAGAACGUCGUGAGACAGUUCGGUCCCUAUCCGUUGUGGGCGUAGGAAAUUUGAGAGGAGCUGUCCUUAGUACGAGAGGACCGGGAUGGACGAACCUCUGGUGUAUCUGUUGGUAACCAAUGCCAUGGCAGAGUAGCCAAGUUUGGAAGGGAUAAACGCUGAAGGCAUCUAAGCGUGAAGCCUCCCUCAAGACAAGAUUUCCCAUUCGAAAGAAGUAAGGAUCCUUGAAGACGACAAGGUAGAUAGGCUGGAGAUGUAAGCAUAGUAAUAUGUUAAGUUGACCAGUACUAAUAAUCCGAGGGCUUGUCUAA
rnacentral:rRNA from 1 species